GUAACAAGGUCUCCGUAGGUGAACCUGCGGAGGGAUCAUUACACAAAUAUGAAGGCGGGCUGGAACCUCUCGGGGUUACAGCCUUGCUGAAUUAUUCACCCUUGUCUUUUGCGUACUUCUUGUUUCCUUGGUGGGUUCGCCCACCACUAGGACAAACAUAAACCUUUUGUAAUUGCAAUCAGCGUCAGUAACAAAUUAAUAAUUACAACUUUCAACAACGGAUCUCUUGGUUCUGGCAUCGAUGAAGAACGCAGCGAAAUGCGAUAAGUAGUGUGAAUUGCAGAAUUCAGUGAAUCAUCGAAUCUUUGAACGCACAUUGCGCCCUUUGGUAUUCCAAAGGGCAUGCCUGUUCGAGCGUCAUUUGUACCCUCAAGCUUUGCUUGGUGUUGGGCGUCUUGUCUCUAGCUUUGCUGGAGACUCGCCUUAAAGUAAUUGGCAGCCGGCCUACUGGUUUCGGAGCGCAGCACAAGUCGCACUCUCUAUCAGCAAAGGUCUAGCAUCCAUUAAGCCUUUUUUUCAACUUUGACCGGAU
rnacentral:rRNA from 1 species